GUGAACGCUGGCGGCAGGCCUAACACAUGCAAGUCGAGCGGCAGCGCGGGGCAACCUGGCGGCGAGCGGCGGACGGGUGAGGAAUACAUCGGAAUCUACCUUCUUGUGGGGGAUAACGUAGGGAAACUUACGCUAAUACCGCAUACGACCUGAGGGUGAAAGCAGGGGACCGCAAGGCCUUGCGCGAGAAGAUGAGCCGAUGUCCGAUUAGCUAGUUGGUGAGGUAAAGGCUCACCAAGGCGACGAUCGGUAGCUGGUCUGAGAGGAUGAUCAGCCACACUGGAACUGAGACACGGUCCAGACUCCUACGGGAGGCAGCAGUGGGGAAUAUUGGACAAUGGGCGCAAGCCUGAUCCAGCCAUGCCGCGUGUGUGAAGAAGGCCUUCGGGUUGUAAAGCACUUUUGUUCGGGAAGAAAUCUUCCGACCUAAUACGUCGGGAGGAUGACGGUACCGAAAGAAUAAGCACCGGCUAACUUCGU
rnacentral:rRNA from 1 species